AAUACGUUCCCGGGCCUUGUACACACCGCCCGUCAAGUCACGAAAGUCGGUAACACCCGAAGCCGGUGGCCCAACCUUUUGGAGGGAGCCGUCGAAGGUGGGACUGGCGAUUGGGACU
rnacentral:rRNA from 1 species